GAAAUGCGAUAAGUAGUGUGAAUUGCAGAAUUUAGCGAAUCAUCGAAUCUUUGAACGCACAUUGCGCCCCUUGGUAUUCCAUGGGGCAUGCCUGUUCGAGCGUCAUUUCAACCCUCAAGCACUGCUUGGUGUUGGGCGUUUGUCCCGCCUACGCGCGUGGACUCGCCUCAAAGUCAUUGGCAGCUGUUCCCCUUCGGCUCGUAAGCGCAGCACAGUCGGCGCCCGGAGCUCUGGUGGGAUGGCGUCCAGCAAGCUAUAUUUUCAGGCUUGACCUCGGAUCAGGUAGGGAUACCCGCUGGACUUAAGC
rnacentral:misc_RNA from 1 species